rnacentral:rRNA from 1 species
UACGGAGGAUGCAAGCGUUAUCCGGAAUGAUUGGGCGUAAAGCGUCCGCAGGUGGCUAUGUAAGUCUGCUGUCAAAGCGUCUGGCUCAACCAGAUAAAGGCAGUGGAAACUACAUAGCUAGAGUAAGGUAGGGGUAGAGGGAAUUCCUGGUGUAGCGGUGAAAUGCGUAGAGAUCAGGAAGAACACCGGUGGCGAAAGCGCUCUGCUGGACCUUAACUGACACUGAGGGACGAAAGCUAGGGGAGCGAAUGGG